UUUUUUUUUCAAAAAUUUUUGAGAAACUCUCUCAAACUCUCUCUCCCUCUCUCCUUUCUCCGGCCAUGGCUUCGGCCAUCGACCACCAUGGCGGCCACUGGUCGCCGGCGACAUCGUCGCCGUACACGAUGGCCAUAGAACCCAAAAUUUCUUUUUCGACUCCCUUUUCGACGCCUCUGUUUCAAAAAACAAAAAAAAAAUCAAAAACUCCUGAUAUCCCUCAACACCGUUGCGUCGAACCUUAAUAGAUCCUAGGUUCCCGACACUAGAAAAGGCCUCCAAUGACAGAGGGAGACGAAGCGUCUCUGGUAAACUCCUUUUUUUUAUAUAUUUUAUAAAAAAAUAAAAGAUUAAAAAUAUAAAAAAGAUCACCUUUUGAAUCUGUAUCUUUGUAUUCAAUUUUUUCUCUUUUUCUUUUUGUAUUUGAUUUCGUCUGUAAAAAAAAUUGAAUUUGGCCUUUAUAGCUGAUUUACAUAUUUUCUUUUUAUUAUAUCUACUGUUCAUCUGCUACUGUUCAUCUGCUUCUUGUCUUUUCAUUCUUUCCAUUUUUGCAAGGGGCGGUGGGGUCAACGACGAUGAGAGAAAUAGGCCUUUGUCGUUUUGGUGCAAGCAGUAGACUCGCGUCAGGCCUCGGGACAAGGUGCCUUGGGCGGCUCAAAAGAAGCAGCAGCUAGGGUUUUCAGUUUUACUGAAAACUUAGUUUAAGUUGUCAGCCACUAGGCUAUUAAAAAUUUUUUUUAUUUUGGACUGUUUGUAAUUAAACUGUAGCUUUAUUUAUUUAUUUAUUUAUUUAUUUAGUGCCCUGGCAAAUUGGGCCUACUACACAACCCAUACAAAUCAAAGC
rnacentral:lncRNA from 1 species